rnacentral:rRNA from 1 species
CAGUAGCCACGGGAAUACGGAGGGUGCAAGCGUUAAUCGGAAUUACUGGGCGUAAAGCGCACGCAGGCGGUCUGACAAGUCAGAUGUGAAAUCCCCGGGCUUAACCUGGGAACUGCAUUUGAAACUGUCAGGCUGGAGUCUUGUAGAGGGGGGUGGAAUUCCAGGUGUAGCGGUGAAAUGCGUUGAGAUCGAAAAGAACACCAACGGCGAAAGCACUCUGCUGGGCCGACACUGACACUGAGAGACGAAAGCUAGGGGAGCAAAUGGGAUUAGAGACCCCCGUAGUCCCUGUCUCUUAUAC